CCGACCCUGGAGACAGUGGGUCAGGUCGUGCACAGGACGCCUCAGGUCUCUAGCUCGCAGGGACCCAAAGGUAACACAGGGAGACCCAGAGACAGCCGGUCCAGCCUGACACCACUCUGAUCUGACUUGUGUGGCCCCAGGUCCCCUCCCUUGUGUGUGUGUGUGUUGUACGUGUGUGUGUCGGUGUGUGUCUGGGUGGAAGAAGGGGUCGUAUGUGGAGGGCCCACCUGAGCAGCUGCAGGCUGAUCAAGGGGUCAGAUACCUGGUCGUCAGGUCAGGCCCACACCCCGGUCAAGGCUGGAUGGGAGGGACAGGGUCUGCUGGGUUGGCCCUCUUGUCCCCGAUGUUCAUCCGGAGCCCUGUAGGUGGAUGUCACUGUGUCCCAGGCGCAGGGCUGUGCACAUUCAGGUCUGUGUCCGAUCUGGGAGCCGCAGGUGGAGAGGGAGGAAGGACACUGAGGAUGACUGGGUGGGGCUGUGAUGUCUCCGGGCCGUCCGCGGGUCACUGUCUUUACAGAAAUCAACCGAUGAAAUCGGGAAACGUCUGGCCGAAUCCCAUUACACCUGCCGUAGAGAGUUGUGCGUGUGCCCCGUCGCCCAGGAGGGCCACCCUGUACCCAGGGAGAGAGUGGCCGCACAGAGUUCAUGUGAAGCAGAGCCUGGAGAUGGCCUGGGAAGGCCUCCUUCACCGCCCUGGCCCCUCCAGAGGGUGCUGGUUCACGGGUCCUGGGAUCAGGACCCGGAGCCCCCGGAGCCAGAGCCCGAGGAUGCCGGUGCAGGAGCAGAAGCCGGUGCGGCUCCAGAGCCCGAACCAAGGGCAUCGGGGUCCUCGGCGUCUCUGCAUUCAGGGGUGGAGUCUGGGGCGCCUCCUGCAGGGGCCGGAGAGCCAGCAGGUGACCUGGUACCUGUGCUGGGACAGCGGGCACCUGAGCAGAGUCAGCUGGUUCCUGCUUCUGCUCCCGACACUGUUCCUGCCAUCGCCCUUGUUCCCCUAUGGAUUCCGGCCACAAAUCCAGGGCUCAAAGGCCUUCGAGGGGUGUUUAUUGUAUUUCUAAUUGUUGCUCCAGUCCCAGUCCCCGACGCCUCCACCAGAAUGACUCUUCCUCUUCUCCCUUAUCCUUUCGCUCCUCUACCUUUUAGGUGGUACAUUAUUUGUUCAUGGUAUGUUUAAAAUCCACAUUAAUCUUCAAUAAAAAUUUUGUUUAUUU